rnacentral:lncRNA from 1 species
AUUAUAUAUAUAAAUAAAUAAAUAAAUAAAUAUAUAUAUAUAUAAAAUUUUAUUUAUAAAUAUUUAUUCAUAUACUAUUUUAUUUUUAUAUACAAAUAUUAUUAUAUAAUAUUUUAUUUAUAAAUUUGUAAUUAUUUAUUAAUAUUUUUAAAUAUAUAACUCUUAUAUAUUAUUAGUAUAUGUUUAUUAUAAUUUUAAAUAUAUUUAAUCUAUAUAUAAAUAUUAUAAUAAUAAUAUAUAUAGUAUAUAGUAUAAUACCGAAUUUUUAAAAAUUAUAUUUGCUCCCGAAUUUUUAAUUGGUGAAUGUAUAAUACCCGUAUAAAUCACAUCCGAAUAAUUGCCGAAUCCGUUUUUUAGUCGUAUUUUUCAACGAAUUUAAAAAUUAAAAUACGAAUUUUAUCCGAAUUAUAUCCGUACCGAAUUUUUGCCGAAUCCAAAUUAACUAACUAUGCCUCCAGCUACCCAGGUUGGUUUAGCUGCGAUCGAUCUCAUCCGUUCAUCUGCUCGCUCCCGACGUGCUUAAUGAAUUAAUUGAUUGAUAUUUGAAGGGCAAGGUAUAUAAAAAAAGUUAGUUACGGUACAAGAUAUAUUGGAAUAGACAAAAUGGUAAUUUUUCAGAGAUAACGGUAGCUCAUUAACGAAACUUAAUUCCAGAAGUAUAUUAGAAAAACUUGAAAUAUAAGAAGAGUAUUCCAGGAGUAUAUUAGAAAAACUUAAAAUAUAAGAAGAGUAUUUUCAAUAUUAGUCUUUUAAGAGAGGUAAAUAAGAAAAUCGAGAACUUUUCAGGUAUAUAAGCAAUUGCUCUAAAAAAAAAAAAAAU